GGUUUCAAAACUCAAAUGUGCCUCAACUAGCUAAUUGAACAUCUUGUUAUUGGCAGGAUCAAGCGGGGCAGGGGAACUGUUGGGUCACGGAUGGAUGAAGCUGGUCCUUACCUUCCUUCUAGUCCGGAUCCCAGAGAAAAAGAGUCAGCAAGUCCUAAUAUGAAACUAAGCAAAGUACACAAAUAUCAUGCCGUAAUUGGUCAAGAGAAGCCCGACUGGCUGAAUUCUACUGGUUCUUCAGAAAAUAAAUUUCUGCCCAGCAGGCAGCACGACAGUUAAAGUGGCAGCUUCCGAUGGCUUGGCUGAUGGCAAUUCUCCGGGGCUUUCAAGCAUGACUGUGGAUAAUUCUGUUGAGUUCACUUAUGAAGAGCUGGCUACUGCGACUAAUGACCAGCAUUAUAUCCUGCAUACUUUUCAUAUAUGCCAAUCCUAAACACCGAGUCAUGAUUUCACCUCUCCAGUGGAAAGUGGCUAUCAAGAAAAUGGACAUGGAGGCUGUGACGGAGUUUCUAGCUGAAUUGAAGGUCUUGACAAAUGUUCAUCACCUGAACCUGUUGAAGGUUGGAGACUAUCAAGAUUUGUUUCCUAAUAAGGGAAGGUGGAAUUUUAACCAGAAGGUAUGUAUCCUGCUCAACACUUUUUUCUUUCUCCCAAUGUUACUUUGAUUUAAGAAAAUGCCUUUACCAUUUUUUCACUCUGGUAUAAUCUAGUAAUUUUAUUAUUCUGCCAUAUAGUAAAUUAUUGCAACUUAUAAAACUUGUACAUAGCCGAACAGAUCAGUUUUUCUUGUAAAUAUGUUACCGCAUAUGCUGUGAAAACUAGACACCUCGAGCACUUGCCAUUAGCUUAAUAAAAC